AGCAGCCGCGGUAAUUCCAGCUCCAAUAGCGUAUAUUAAAGUUGUUGCAGUUAAAAAGCUCGUAGUUGAAUUUCGGGACCAUCAUGUCGGUCGUGCCUCGGUACGUACUGGCAUUGUUGGUUUCUCCCUUCUGACGAACCAUGAUGUCAUUUAUUUGGUGUUGUGGGAAAUCAGGACUGUUACUUUGAAAAAUUAGAGUGUUUAAAGCAGGCUCACGCUUGAAUACAUUAGCAUGGAAUAAUGAAAUAGGACGUUUGAUUCUAUUUUGUUGGUUUCUAGGAUCGACGUAAUGAUUAAUAGGGAUAGUUGGGGGCAUUAGUAUUCAAUUGUCAGAGGUGAAAUUCUUGGAUUUAUUGAAGACUAACUACUGCGAAAGUAUUUGCCAAGGAUGUUUUCAUUAAUCAAGAACGAAAGUUAGGGGAUCGAAGACGAUCAGAUACCGUCGUAGUCUUAACCAUAAACUAUGCCGACUAGGGAUCGGAUGAUGUUAAUUUUUAAUGACUCAUUCGGCGCCUUAACC
rnacentral:rRNA from 1 species